GCCGGGCGCGGUGGCGCGUGUCUGUAGUCCCAGCUAUUCGGGAGGCUGAGGCUGGAGGAUCUCUUGAGUCCAGGAGUUCUGGGCUGUAGUGCGCUAUGCCGAUCGGGUGUCCGCACUAAGUUCGGCAUCAAUAUGGUGACCUCCCGGGAGCGGGGGACCACCAGGUUGCCUAAGGAGGGGUGAACCGGCCCAGGUCGGAAACGGAGCAGGUCAAAACUCCCGUGCUGAUCAGUAGUGGGAUCGCGCCUGUGAAUAGCCACUGCACUCCAGCCUGGGCAACAUAGCGAGACCCUGUCUCU
rnacentral:SRP_RNA from 1 species